UUCAUUGUGUUAGAUUUAUAUAUUUAUUUGUCUCUUCUGGUAGAUUAAGUUUUUUGAGAGAAAAGUUUCUUUUGUGUGUCUCUUUGUAACCCCAAGUUACCUGAAACCAUGCUUUGCACAUUGGAGGCAUUCAAUAAAUGCUUGUUAAUGUAAAUAGUAAAAUGUCAUUAUUUUUAAUAAAGCAAAUAGUAUUGUCUGACUUCUUGGAGAAUAAAAUUAUAUAUGAAAUACCGGGGAAAGAGUGGAGGAAGUUGUUCACAGAUUACUUUAAAGAUUAUUUUCGGUAUUGAAUGCAGAUCAUUUUCAGUAUUGAAUGUACCACCACUUAUUAAAAUGUUGUUUUUGUGCAAAGAUGGUGGGACGGCUCCAUCAUAAGUAAGU
rnacentral:lncRNA from 10 species